ACUGGAAGUCCAAGGUCAAGGUGCCAGCAGUGUUGGUGUCUAGUUGAGGAUGCUCCCUUUGGGCUGCUAUAUUAGUCUGUUCUCACACCACUAUACUUCCUGAGACUAAGUAAUUUAUAAAAGAAAGAGGUUUGGUUCACAGUUCCACAUGGCUGAGGAGACCUCAGGAAACUUACAAUUAUGGUAGAAGGUGAAGGUGGAGCAAGGCACGUCUCUUCAUGGCUGCAAGAGAGAGAGAAAGAGUGAGGAAGUGUCACUCUUUAAACCAUCAGAUCUUGUGAGAACUCCAUCACUAUCACAAGAAUAGCAUGGGGAAAACCACCCCCAUGAUCCAUUCGCAUCCCACCAGGUUCCUCCCGUUGAAGAGGGAGAAAAGGAAAGAGAGAGAGGGAAAAAUAGAGAGCUCUUAGGUGUCUCUCCUUGUAAGGCAACUAAUCUCUUCAUGAGGCCCACCUUUAUGACCUCAUCUGAACCUGAUUACCUUCAAAAGGCUUCAUCUCCAAAUCCCAAAUAGCAUCAUAUUAGGAUUUGGGGCUUUAACCUGUGUUUGGGGGAAAGAGGGGUACAUAAUUCAGUCCAUAGCACUUCCUAAAAUCCUACAGCCAAUAAGAGAGAAUGAGAGCAGAAAGUGUGAGAAAACAGUGACUGAGAGAAACACAAAUACCAAAAUAUGUGGAUUGAACCAUCCAUCCUUUCAAUUACAUAGAAUAAUAUUGUCAACUAGUAGAAUUUCAGAGCAUCUUUAAGGAGUCCUAGCAACCGGUGGUCUAAUUUCACAAAUGAAACAUUUGGGGCUUACAGAAGUCAGACUUGUGUCAUGGUUAUCUCCACAGGGCAUAAGGUAAAUUCUUGCAAAUUUGUGCUUAUAUACAAUGCUAU
rnacentral:lncRNA from 1 species